rnacentral:lncRNA from 1 species
AGAUAGCCUUACACCAAUUUUAGGGUUAAAAUCAUGCUUAGAUUUAGAUUUGAUACGAAGAGUAGAUAACAUAGAUUUAAACAUAACAAAAAGUGCCUUUAUUAAACAAAAUAGUGAUGUAUUCAUUGGAUUAGGCAAAUGUCCUCAAAAAUGUAAACUAAAACUUAAAGAUAAUUGUGUUCCUGUAGCUAAACCACCACGAAGGGUCCCUUUAGCCA